rnacentral:rRNA from 1 species
ACGGGUGAGUAACGCGUGGGAACGUACCUUUUGGUUCGGAACAACACAGGGAAACUUGUGCUAAUACCGGAUAAGCCCUUACGGGGAAAGAUUUAUCGCCGAAAGAUCGGCCCGCGUCUGAUUAGCUAGUUGGUAGGGUAAUGGCCUACCAAGGCGACGAUCAGUAGCUGGUCUGAGAGGAUGAUCAGCCACAUUGGGACUGAGACACGGCCCAAACUCCUACGGGAGGCAGCAGUGGGGAAUAUUGGACAAUGGGGGCAACCCUGAUCCAGCCAUGCCGCGUGAGUGAUGAAGGCCCUAGGGUUGUAAAGCUCUUUUGUGCGGGAAGAUAAUGACGGUACCGCAAGAAUAAGCCCCGGCUAACUUCGUGCCAGCAGCCGCGGUAAUACGAAGGGGGCUAGCGUUGCUCGGAAUCACUGGGCGUAAAGGGUGCGUAGGCGGGUUUUUAAGUCAGGGGUGAAAUCCUGGAGCUCAACUCCAGAACUGCCUUUGAUACUGAAGAUCUUGGGUCCGGGAGAGGUGAGUGGAACUGCGAGUGUAGAGGUGAAAUUCGUAGA